rnacentral:rRNA from 1 species
UGAGGAAUAUUGGACAAUGGGCGCAAGCCUGAUCCAGCCAUGCCGCGUGCAGGAAGAAGCAUCUAUGGUGUGUAAACUGCUUUUGUACGGGAAGAAACACUCCUUCGUGAAGGAGCUUGACGGUACCGUAAGAAUAAGGAUCGGCUAACUCCGUGCCAGCAGCCGCGGUAAUACGGAGGAUCCAAGCGUUAUCCGGAAUCAUUGGGUUUAAAGGGUCCGUAGGCGGUUUAGUAAGUCAGUGGUGAAAGCCCAUCGCUCAACGAUGGAACGGCCAUUGAUACUGUUAGACUUGAAUUACAAGGAAGUAACUAGAAUAUGUAGUGUAACGGUGAAAUGCUUAGAUAUUACAUGGAAUACCAAUUGCGAAGGCAAUCCCCUGGACCUGUACUGACGCUCAUGCACGAAAGCGUGGGGAGCAAACA